CACAUAGUUAGCCGGUGCUUCUUCUUUGAGUACCGUUACUUUCGCUUCUUCCCCACUGAAAGAGGUUUACAACCCGAAGGCCUUCAUCCCUCACGCGGCGUCGCUGGGUCAGACUUGCGUCCAUUACCCAAUAUUCCCCA
rnacentral:rRNA from 1 species